UUCCGGUUGAUCCUGCCGGACCUGACUGCUAUCGGAUUGAUACUAAGCCAUGCGAGUCAUUGUAGCAAUACAAGGCAGACGGCUCAGUAACGCGUAGUCAACCUAACCUAUGGACGGGAAUAACCUCGGGAAACUGAGAAUAAUGCCCGAUAGAACACUAUGCCUGGAAUGGUUUGUGUUCCAAAUGAUUUAUCGCCGUAGGAUGGGACUGCGGCUUAUCAGUUUGUUGGUGAGGUAAUGGCCCACCAAGACUAUUACAGGUACGGGCUCUGAGAGGAGUGGCCCGGAGAUGGGUACUGAGACACGGACCCAGGCCCUAUGGGGCGCAGCAGGCGAGAAAACUUUGCAAUGUGCGAAAGCACGACAAGGUUAAUCCGAGUGGUUUCUGCCAAAGGAACCUUUUGUCAGUCCUAGAAACACUGACGAAUAAGGGGUGGGCAAGUACUGGUGUCAGCCGCCGCGGUAAAACCAGCACCUCAAGUGGUCAGGAUGAUUAUUGGGCCUAAAGCAUCCGUAGCCUGCUUUGUUAGUUUUCGGUUAAAUCUGUACGCUCAACGUACAGGCUGCCGGGAAUACUGCAAAGCUAGGGAGUGGGAGAGGUAGACGGUACUCGGUAGGAAGGGGUAAAAUCCUUUGAUCUAUUGAUGACCACCUGUGGCGAAGGCGGUCUACCAGAACACGUCCGACGGUGAGGGAUGAAAGCUGGGGGAGCAAACCGGAUUAGAUACCCGGGUAGUCCCAGCUGUAAACCAUGCAAACUCAGUGAUGCAUUGGCUUGUGGCCAAUGCAGUGCUGCAGGGAAGCCGUUAAGUUUGCCGCCUGGGAAGUACGUACGCAAGUAUGAAACUUAAAGGAAUUGGCGGGGGAGCACCACAAGGGGUGAAGCCUGCGGUUCAAUUGGAGUCAACGCCGGG
rnacentral:rRNA from 1 species